UUCCGGCUUGGAGCGCCCCGAGGGGCGGGAAACUUGAGGCCCGCGGCGGAGCCGGGGGAGGAGGCGGAGUCAGGCUUUCGCUAAAGUUCUCGGUGAUGGGGGCGAGAAGCCCACAGAGGGCGCACAGCUGGGGCGGGCUGGCAAGCGGGAGCGCGGGGACGCAGGGGCCCCUCCGGGAGGCCCGAGCCCGCAGGUCACCCGGGCCGGAAGCACCGCUGCCCGGACCCCGGUUUCUCGCCCGCGUCCGAGCUGCCCGUCGCCCCCGUUGCAGACGGGCGGGUGCAGAGGGACUGCUGCCAGCGGGCAGUUUUCAAAGUAGCAAUCUCCCCGUGAGCUCCUGGGAGAUGGAGAUGAUGACCUUAUGCAUCACAUCUUGCAACCUGGAGAUUUCCUUUCCUGGAAAAAGACCCCUCCAGAACCCUCUCGGGAUGUGCUGACCCGCCCCUGUGCUGCCAACAUCCAGGAACCCCUGGCAGAGACCCAGGAGCAGAACCGGAGAAUCCUCACCGUCCCCGACUCUGGCUUUUCUCCAAUGGAUGUUCAUUCACAACAACUCUUCCCAACUUCUUCCUUCUUUCCCAGAAAAUAAUGUUCCUCCUCCUUUGCUUGCUCGACUUGCCUGUGCUCCUGCCAUAGUCUGUUUGUCCCAAACUGCAAUUCUCUGCUACUCCUAAAUAAACCC